GUCCACGCCGUAAACGAUGAGUGCUAAGUGUUAGAGGGUUUCCGCCCUUUAGUGCUGCAGCAAACGCAUUAAGCACUCCGCCUGGGGAGUACGGUCGCAAGACUGAAACUCAAAGGAAUUGACGGGGGCCCGCACAAGCGGUGGAGCAUGUGGUUUAAUCCGAAGCAACGCGAAGAACCUUACCAGGUCUUGACAUCCUCUGACAACCCUAGAGAUAGGGCUUCCCCUUCGGGGGCAGAGUGACAGGUGGUGCAUGGUUGUCGUCAGCUCGUGUCGUGAGAUGUUGGGUUAAGUCCCGCAACGAGCGCAACCCUUGAUCUUAGUUGCCAGCAUUCAGUUGGGCACUCUAAGGUGACUGCCGGUGACAAACCGGAGGAAGGUGGGGAUGACGUCAAAUCAUCAUGCCCCUUAUGACCUGGGCUACACACGUGCUACAAUGGGCAGAACAAAGGGCAGCGAAGCCGCGAGGCUAAGCCAAUCCCACAAAUCUGUUCUCAGUUCGGAUCGCAGUCUGCAACUCGACUGCGUGAAGCUGGAAUCGCUAGUAAUCGCGGAUCAGCAUGCCGCGGUGAAUACGUUCCCGGGCCUUGUACACACCGCCCGUCACACCACGAGAGUUUGUAACACCCGAAGUCGGUGAGGUAACCUUUUGGAGCCAGCCGCCGAAGGUGGGACAGAUGAUUGG
rnacentral:rRNA from 1 species